rnacentral:lncRNA from 1 species
CCUACUAUUAAAAUUAUUGACUGAUCAUUUCUUUGUAAGUGGGCAAACGUACAAAAUCAGCAGGGGAUCAAAUACUUUUCACCCCACUGUAGUAGGCCGGUGACGACGACCGCCGAGCACCACCCGAGCAGGAAGGGGAGCCACCUUCGGUAGGAGUCGUGACAGCUUUACAUCCCCCCCAUCCAAAUUAACAUGAAAAUUAUGCAAUAGCCUACAGUUUCUAUCGCCAUUUUGAACUUCUAAUGCGGUAGGGAAAAUAUCCCACUGGGCACAUACGUCAAUUCAACAUCUAUUCCACGUUGGUUCAACAUAAUUGAUUUGAAAUGACAUGGUGUGUGUGGGAAGGAAGUGAGUGGUUUGUGACGCACAAGAGCAACCGUGGGUUAAUGCUCAAUCUGAUUGAAUCAAGCCUCUAAUUUUAGAAGAAGAUAAAAAGGUCUGGAGUACAGCAGUCUAUAUGGAAACUAGUGAUGCGUUGCCACUAGUGAUGCAUUUUUUUUUCAUGGGUGGAGUUGCCUGGCAGCAGACUGGGAUGUGGGUGAAGAAAGCAGGUACUAGUUGCAGCAGACUUGGCACUGGAGGAAGCAGGUUAGACUUUAGUGGGAGCAGCCUGGGUGGGGCACGCAGCAGGUUAGACUGUAGUGGGAGCAGCCUGGGUGGGGCACGCAGCAGGUUAGACUGUAGUGGGAGCAGCCUGGGUGGGGCACGCAGCAGGUUAGACUGUAGUGGGAGGAGCCUGGGUGGGGCACGCAGCAGGUUAGACUGUAGUGGGAGGAGCCUGGGUGGGGCACGCAGCAGGUUGGACUGUAGUGGGAGCAGCCUGGGUGGGGCACGCAGCAGGUUAGACUGUAGUGGGAGGAGCCUGGGUGGGGCACGCAGCAGGUUGGACUGUAGUGGGAGCAGCCUGGGUGGGGCACGCAGCAGGUUAGACUGUAGUGGGAGGAGCCUGGGUGGGGCACGCAGCAGGUUGGACUGUAGUGGGAGCAGCCUGGGUGGGGCACGCAGCAGGUUAGACUGUAGUGGGAGGAGCCUGGUGGGGCUGGCAUCAGAGAAGUCAGUAGUGGUGGUGGUGAAGUCAUCCAGAACACUACCAACUGUGGGGUCCAUUGCAUAGUCCUCAAAAUCAGUCUCCUCCGACUCAGGGCCCAUAGCCUGCAUGGCCUUCCCAGUCUGCCUGAGCAGGUAGUCCACACACCAAUCAACUCUCCUGAAAAUGAAACAAGACAAAAAUGUAUAUGAAUAUGAAUAUGAUUACUCACAAUAUCUUCAUCAUAUCAAAACACUGAUUGUCACAUCUGCUCCCACUCCCCCUCUUUGGUGCUCGAGGUCACCAGUUCACUCAUUACGCACACCUGCCACCAUCGUUACACACACCUGCGCUUAAUUAUGGUACUCACCUGGACUCCAUCAUGUCAUUUACCUUCCCUAUAUCUGUCACUUCCUCAGUUUCAUUCCCGAGUCAGCAUUGAUAUAGUUAUGUUUCUCCUGUCCAGACGCUC